rnacentral:rRNA from 1 species
AACGGCCGCGGUAUCUUGACCGUGUGAAGGUAGCGUAAUCAUUUGUCUUUUAAAUGAAGACCUGUAUGAAUGGCACAACGAGGGCUUGACUGUCUCACUUUCUUGGUCAAUGAAAUUGAUCCCCCCGUGCAGAAGCGGGGAUAAAAACAUAAGACGAAAAGACCCUGUGGAGCUUCAGAUAAAAUAAUAGCCUAUAAUUUUAAAUUAUGUUACCUUUUAUGAUAUCUUCGGUUGGGGCGACCUUGGAGAAAAAUAUAACCUCCACGCGGCGAACAAUAAGCUUCUUAAUAAACAAGAACUACAGUUCUAAAUUUCAGAAUAUCUGCCCAUAAAGAUCCGGCAAAACAGCCGAUCAGCGAACCAAGUUACCCCAGGGAUAACAGCGCAAUCCCCUUUCAGAGCCCCUAUCAACAAGGGGGUUUACGACCUCGAUGUUGGAUCAGGACAUCCUAAU